AUCUCUCUCUCUCUCUCUCUCUCUCUCCCAGCUAGAGCAGGUGGUCUCCAAUCGACUCCCCCUUCAGAAAUCAGCAUUCACACAUACAUUCUCUCCAUCCAUCUCUCACUGGCUUACGGACGGGCUGCGAUCCCCCCUGAGCUAAUUCCAUUAUACAUUCCGUCUGGAAGUAAGAGAGGACUGCCCUCUAAUUGCUUUCUUAUCCCCCUGAGCCCCUUUUCUCUCCUUUACGCUCCUCUCCUCUCCUCCAAACUGCACCCCCAACCCCAGCCCCCGCCCCGCUCCGAACAUGGCAGCAAAAGGGAAGGAGGAAAGUGAAAUAGAGCGACUACACGCGCCAGAGAGAGAGAGAGAGAGAGACGAGUCUGCCACUGACAGGGAAUAUCUGCCAUUUUCCGCGUUGCAGGAGGCUGCAGCCCUGAUCCAGAGGACCGGGAUCCAGGCACAGGCAACGCCGCAGAGCCCCCUAGCCGGAGUCAUGCAGUCCUUCAGAGAGCGGAGUGGUUUCCAUGGCAACCAGCACUGCUACCAGCAGGAACCCCAAGAAUUAUCGCGCCUUGAGAGUUAUAGACAUCAUCACAGCCAGUCCAGACAGGGCUAUGAGCCACACUCUCUAGCUGCUGCAGGGAUGUCAACAGCGGGAGCGGGUUCUAAAGACUGUUAUGGACAGCAGUCCUAUCCCAUCUACACCAGCACCAGUGGUACUCAGACUAAAAAACCUUAUAGAGGAGCCAAAACUCCAAACCAGCAUCUGCAGGCUGGCUACAACAAUCACAUGGGCACUGGAUACACAGCCCAAUACAUGAGUGAAGGUCAUUUGCAGCAAAAAUGGGAUGAGUCACCUCAGAUGACCCAAUUUGAGCAGGACAUGGUGGGACGGCUGGAGUCUGGGGUCAGUGGGUCAUCCCAGUACCUAGAGCAGAACAUGCUAGCUAUUUCUCAAAGUCAGUGCCAUCUACCUUCGCAGUCCUCUGCCCCAACCUAUACAAGUCCCCAUCAACAGGGCCUCCCACCCAAUCCAGCACCAUCUCCUUUAAUGUAUCCACAAGGUCACCUCAAUUUCCCCCAGCACUCGCAACACCCGUCUUCAUCUUCGUCAUCUUAUAUGGAGAAAUGUAAUGCAAUGCCGCAUGGCUACAAAGGCUAUGGUAUACCACCUAAUGCUCAGUAUGGAAGACAGCUUGGCAAUCACAGCAGUCUAAAACAGAGUGGAUACAGACCUCAGAAUAAUUACGGUUAUCAGCAAACUCCAUCAAGGUCUGGAUUUGAACAGAGUUCCCUGCAAGGAAUGUCUGGUACACAAGAGAACCUUCAGAAAUUCCAGCACUAUAAUCAGCCCCAGCAAAACUACUGCAUAACAGAUAUUUCUGUAAGGUCACCAGAACAAUACUAUCAGACCUGCAGUCCAAGCUCUAAUCAUUCACCUGCAAGGUCUGUGGGAAGAUCUCCCUCAUACAAUUCCACACCUUCCCCCUUAAUGCCAAACCCUGAUUCAUUCCAGUAUGGCCAACCUCCCAUCAACCCUGGGGCUUCAUCAUCCGCAGGUCUGCAAGACCAAAAUAUGCUGAUGCCUCCUCAUACUCAUUCAUCACCCAGUGUGAAUCACCAGACCCAGAGCUAUUCUGGCUCCAUGAAAGAACGAUUUUCGGAAAAGCUCUUGUCAAACCCCAGUUUGUGGAGCCUCAAUGCCCUGACAUCUCAGGUUGAAAACAUCUCCAACAAUGUCCAGCAGCUGCUGCUGUCUGAGGCCCUUAUGGCUAACAAAAAGACCAGCAAGCGAAAUCAUCCAAAAAAGGGAGAAGACUAUAGAGGUCAGUUAAAGGGUAUAGAAGAGUCAUCUUGUCCUGAUAACCAACAUGGUCCUCCUCCAUCCGAUGCUUACACCAUUUCCAGGUCCAUGACCGCAGAACUGCAGGAGGGAGGAUACUCUAGCAGCACUGAGGACCAGAUGGACAGGAGCUACUACUAUUUUGGUCAGGAAAAAGGUCAAGCACAAACCCAGACACACUCACGUCUCAGCCUUGACACAGUGUCUACUUGCUCCAUAAACUCAGCUGACGAUGUCUCCGUUAGGUCAGGUGACUCAGUUCGAAGUCUCCAGAGUGUCGCGUCUGAGGAUAAUCUCAACUGUGACCCAAGAGUACAGAGAGUACUGACUGGAGAAGAGCCCAACAGCUCUCUCCGUUGCAUUAGAGAUGAGAGGUCUCCUAUCAGUGUAACAGCUCCAAGUCCGAUGAAACAAGAGAGCAAUUCACCACCAGACAUAAAGCGUUCAGAGAGCACUCUAAAGGAGAACUUUGAGGAGUCAGCAUGGACGGAGAGGAUGGCUGAUGAAGAGGAAAUUGGACAAAGAAAGCUGUCUGCAGAGCAUGAGUGCAAACGAGAGGUUGCGGAAAAGCAAGAGAAGUGGCUGGAGGAUGAGAAAAGUCCUUCUCUUUUUCAUAAAAUAAAUAAACCAGUAUUAGAGGAAGCUUAUUCUUAUGAAACAGAAGAAAAUAUCUACCAAGGGCUGCAAAACAAAUUUGACUCAGAAAAAGAAAACUCAUCAGAGAUGGACUGUUUUUCUGAACUUAAUCACAAAUGUAAUGAAGGCACAGAAAUAAAAUCAGAAAAAUUCAAAUCAGAGCCACAGUCCAAUGCUGAAAUGCUUGUGAAAACAUCACCCAGCAAUUCAGGUACUGAUCUGUAUUUGCCGGAAAAAGAAGAAAAUUCAAAGAGUGAGGAUUCCAUAGAGAACCUCGCAUGCACUGAGGGACCAGUGGACACCCUUGAGGAGCAGCCGUCUGUCCUUUCCCAUAAUUCCACCGAGGUGAGAGAUGAAAAGGAGAGUCUGACAACCUCAGAGGAAGUUGUUAAUAAUAGAGCAAGACAACAAGAGUCCUUUGCAGAAGUAUGCAGUACAUUUGAGGAAAUUGGAAACAUGCCACAAGUCAACACAGAAACUGCAGAAUGCUUUGCCCAGGACACACAACACAGAGGCAACGAAAGGAGGUCAGCCAUAUGUGACAUUGCACCUCAGCCUCACACUGCCAAGAGUGGCUUCUCAGCUCUCAAUGAGAAAACAACACCUUUGGCUCAGGCUAGGGAUCAUCACAUCGAUCGUAGUGAUGCAAAGGUACUGGAGCCUGACUCUCCUCAGUUGCCGGGCAAGUCAAUACUGCACUCUGCACCAUCUUGGGCUGACACCCCACCCUCUCCCAAGAAAGGGGAUGAGGAUAUGGAACUGGGGAUAAGCUGUCCCAGUGCAGUGACUCCCUCAGCCAAACCAGAGCCUAUGGCCCCAUCUGCACAUACAAGAAUAUUCGGUAAGAAACAUGCACGGGGCAGGAGAAGACUAAUGCAUUCAAGUGUGGGAAUCAGAAGGCAGCUAAGUGUAGAAGGAGACAGUGCUCCACCUUCUGCCCAAAAUCCCAGUAUGCCCUCCAGCAAAAGCACCCUUAUUCUUGACCAGAUGGAAACUGCACGCCAGGAUAUUAGCAGUCAAACACCAAAACUUGUGACAGAGAGUUUACCAUCACGGAUGUGCACUCGCUCCUACGGUUCACAAAAUAACCCAAAAGUCUGCCCUCAAGAGAGAAAGAAACCAGGUCCAAAGCCUGGUCCAAAACCAGGUGUGAAGCCAGGUCCAAAACCAGGUCCAAAGCCUGGUCCAAAAUCAAAUCUAAAACCUGGACCGAAGCCUAGUCCAAAAUCAAUUCCAAAACCUGGUCCAAAACAAGGACCUAAACCUGACGUUAUGCCCAGUGUAAAACCUGGUCCCAAACCAAGUUUAAAAUGCACAGGGCCCACAGAAAAUGCAAAGCCUGGUCCAAAACCUGCUUUAAAGCCAGGUCCUAAACCUGGUCCUAAAUCUGUUUCUAAACUAGGCUCAAAUCCUGCAGCUUUAGCAAGAGAAAUACUUGUUCCAAAGCCAAGUCAAACCACCGCAGAGUCAAAGACAAUUGAGGGCUCAGUACCUAAAGGACCUGGCCGACCAAGAGGAAUCACCUCUAAGAUCAAAUCAAUAAAGCGAGAUGAAAAUGUUCAGAUUACAAAAGACCACACCAAGGACACACACUGUACACAUGAACUUAUUUUGCAAGAUGUGACCACAGCAUUAACUUUGGACACACUUGUUGGUGUUGUGGACACCACUAAGGAUGAAACUGUGGGUUCCACUUUGGAAUCUACUCUAGACAGCAGUUGUGUGAAGUCCUUAGCAAGAGAUCAGAAGUCCAUGGUGCUGAGAUCACGGAAACAAACCAGAGAAAAGCUGACUGAAGUUAAAGAGCAAGAGAAUGAUAAAUCAACGGAGACACCUUCAGCAAUGUUCAUACACUCCCAAAUACAGAAUGCCACUGUGGAUCAGUCAUGUAAGACUGAAUCUUCAAAUCUUGAAUUACCUAAGCAGAAGGAUGUUUCUACAGAUUCACUUCAACAACCAAAUGAAGAGGUGGUUUGCCUCAAAAGAAAAUCCAGUGUACCGUCCUCAGAAACCAAAAAGAGAAAGAAAGGUGUGCAAGAAAGUGAAGUGAAGACACAGGAGCCUCCAUCAGAUACAGUCACAGGAGUCUGUAAUGCAAAGGGAAAGCGAAAGAGAGGACAACACUUGCAAGCAGAAACUUUAAGCGCCACUGUGACCACUGAUAACCCUCCCACUGAUGACGUCGGUGACAUGCCUUCUGUACCUCCUCAGUGUCCCACUAAAACCAAAUAUUUGCCUCCUCGGAAAGGCAGGGGACUUAAAUAUGAGGCAAUGGUUCAGAAAAUCACAUCCCCGGGGUCCAAAAAGCACCCUGUAAAUAUCCAACCAGACACUGUACCAGAAGAAUCAACAUUAAAACCAGUGCCACAGGUAUCAGAGCAGAAAGAGACAAUGAACGCCCCUGAGGUGACUCGCGAGGUGGGCGAGAGUACAGUAAGUACACAAGAGACCCAAAAUACUGGAAUUCAAACUCCAAGGAAAAAGAGGAGAAAGUGGGCCACUGUAGAGAGCAGCGAUGCACCAGAUGUAGCCCUGGAGGCUGGGAGCCUUGUUAUCAACACACCAAGGCUAGCCAAACAGAGAGCCAUUAAAAACAACCAUGAGAUGCAUCUGAAGCAACGAAAGAGGAGGAGAAAAGGCAUUGAACCACCAGAAAGCAUCCCCAUUGUGGAGCAACAGACUGAUAUUUUGUCCCCACCUCCACCCACCUUCUCUUUACCAGAAACAGGUGAACAGACACAGUAUGAGGAGCCACCAACAGAAUUAUGCUUACCACUAAUAAAACCCAAACGAGGCAGGCGGCCAUCACUCAAAAUCAAACAGGAGGAACUCUCAAGUCAAACAGAAGAUGACAAAGUAAAGGAGAAAAAAAAGCCUGGGCCAAAAAACAAGGUUAUGAAUGUCCUCAAAGUUGUAGUGAAGAGGCCUAACAUAAAGACAAAAUGCAGCAAUGAUCUCUGCCCAACAGUAAAAGGAACAUUAUCAGACUUGUAUCCAGCAAUGAGUAACGACAAAUGUUCUUUUAGACCAUAUGUACACAUUGACAGCUCUUUGGAGCCAGCAUCUCUUUGUACCAUCGUCAACAGGCCUGAGGAAGAGCAGAUGCUCAGCCAGGCAAGAAAAAAGAGUGCAGCUAAAAUGAAAAAUCUUGUCACAGUUACCAAGACAGUAUCAAACUCCUCAGUAAUGCUCCAGGGGCCCUUAGUUAACAAAAGCCUAAUUGACAGGUGUCUAACGUGCUGCCUAUGUGGAAAGCCAGCAAAUUACAGAGAGCUUGGGGACUUGUGCGGCCCCUAUUAUCCUGAGGACUGCAUACCACGGAAAAUGCUGUCAUCAACACACAGGAAUGAUUUCAGGCAAAACAGCAACUGUGCAAAUGAGACAGAGGUCAGCUGCAUCACAGAGCAAAUGAACUCACAGGGUGCAUGUGAGAAGGAUGCCUAUCAGGAAGGGGCAAGUGAAGGACACAGUGGGCAUCCCAGGAGGGGGAAAAGGGCAAUUAGGGAACAGUUAAGAACGCGCCCCACUUUGCGGAUGAGGUUCAAAAGGCUGCUGCUGUUGCAGAGAAGACUUGGUGGAACUUCUCCCUCUGUUGGUGAGGAGGGCAGUGGAAUGGCUCUGCAGAGACUGCAGACGGAGGCUGAGGCGAAAGAGCACUGGGCUCAUGAAGCUUGUGCUGUCUGGACCACAGGCAUAAUACUUGUAGGAGGCAAACUCUUUGGGCUGAUGGAGGCUGUUCAGAAAGCUGCACAUGCAAAAUGCUCCAGGUGCCAAGGUGAAGGAGCUUCCAUCUGCUGUAGCUGGAAGAGCUGUACCCAGAGGUACCAUUAUGUCUGCGCCAAAGAGAUGGGUAAGAGUUCUGCCAUUUAGAAGUGUGCUGUGUGUUUGUGUACAAUAUUUACCGUCCAUCUAGUGACUCCACCCAUGAAGCUCUGUUUAGAAACUAAGCAGGGUAUGCAAGCAUAUAUAAUUACUAGAUCCCUCCUCAUAUACCAUACUUUCAACUAUUAACUUACUGAGCGGAAGGUUCUGACCAACAGGUUAAAACAACUAACCGCACUUAUUUUGUGUGUGUGUGUGUGUGUGUGAAAUUUGGCUAUAGGUAAAUUUUGACACUGGUGCUGCCAGAAUAAUUUUUCUAUAAGGUACUUCACUUAAUUAGCCUUAUGCGCAUACAUGACCAUAUCUAGUUUACCUACUUUAAUUCUUGUUGUUCCUUGGAAGCUCUUACUGAAGCUUCCUGGGAACUGGUUUGACUGAUAAAAACCUGUGUACUUCAAAUCCCAGAAGUUGCAUAGAAAUGGAACUGGCAGAUAUCGUCGGCUCUGGACAAUAUGCACCAGAUGGUUCAUGAAUGCUCCAUGGCGUGUCAUCCAAGGCUGAGACUAGUUCCCCUCCAUCAUGCAUUUCUCUCUCCCAUCAGAAAUUGCCAUCAUAGAAAGUGGCGGUUACAUCACUGGAUAUGGGCUGCACAUUUCAAGAAGAGACCUUCUCUAUUAGGUGUCCGAAACACAAGGAAAUGUAAUAUCCCGGCGCAUGAGGACUGGUGAAUGUCACCUAUGCAGUAGAACAAGGACAUGCGUCUGCGCUGUGGGCACCCAAAACACCGAGAAAAACUGGGGCUUCAGUAGAAGCACAAAGAUACUGUAGCAAUACCGACCCAAGAUCAGAUCAACUCUGAAUCCAUCCGGCCCAGUCCAAACACAACAACCUUCACGACCAAACGCUGAAAAAGGGAAAGACGCUUUUGUUAUGAAUCCGAAUGUGCCAUUCUUCCAUUUUAUUCCGUGUUCUGGAGCGGAUGUUAUCAGUCGGGGACACCUGGUGGCAGAUUUGGCCUGCUGCCCCAAGCACUGGCUGGCACAGACGCAUUUCCUCUGUGGAAGGGGAAUUGAAAUUUGAAGAUGUCAUGCAACAUGCACUCACUGGAUGUAUUUCAAUAGACACUUACAUGUUACAAAAAAACAAAAAAAACAAAACAAAAAAAAAAACAUGAAAUUGUACAUGGUGUGCUUUACAGGUCUAAAUAUUCUGAUAUCAUGAAAAAAAAGAACAUAUAAAUGCAUUAUUUUAAUAUAUUGCUACUCCAAGAUGUAGGCUUAUUUUCAUGUGCACUUGAAGACAAAACAGCACCACUGAGAUGUCAAACUGUGCAACCGGAUGACUAAAAUAUCCUGCGUUCAUGUUAUGUGUAUCAGCUGCUCAGCAUUUAGGGAUAGUUCACCCAAAAACGGAAAAUUCUGUCAUCAUUUACUCACCCUCGUGUCAUUCCAAACCUGAGUUUCUUCUGUGAAACAAACAAAAAAAAGUGAAAUUUAAAAUUCAGUCUGCAUAUCACUCAAUUUUAAAGUAGCCUAUUUAUGGUGAAUUCUUGUCAUUUUGGAGUUUGACACCUCCAGUCCCCAUUGACCUUCACUUUUUGGAAAAGGGCAGCUUGGACAUUCUUCCAAAUAACUCAAAUGCACAAAGUCAGUCAUACGGGUUUGAAGCGACAUCAGAACAAGUAAAUAAUGUCAAAAUUGUAAUUUUUGGUUUGAACUUUGAACUUACAAAAGCCUCAGCAAUGUGAAACGAUCUAUACCACGAACAGAUUUGACGUUUCUGUUCAUGUUAUUUGUGAAACGAUGCAGAAGACAACGUGAAAACUGAAAAUGAGAAUUCAUAGUCAUUUAAUCAGAUGUAUAUGUGACUAACAUAUUAUAGCCUUCACUUCACUGCAGUAUAACAGGUAAGAGCGCGCAUAGAGAUGACAGAACCAUCACGUAAUUCUUUGAUUCCUGAUUCUAAGUAAUUGUGUAUAUAAGUAUUUGAUGCUGUUUAAAUGUAAGAUGUGAUGUACUAUUAUAAUUGUGUAUAGUAUUUCUUAGAGAUGUUUAUUUUCUAUAAAACAAAUAUGUUAUUGCUUACAAAAGUUAUUAAAACAUUGAA